rnacentral:rRNA from 1 species
GACGAACCGUACGAACGUUAUUCGGAAUCACUGGGCUUAAAGGGUGCGUAGGCGGCGCAGAAAGUUGGGUGUGAAAUCCCUCGGCUCAACCGAGGAACUGCGCCCAAAACUACUGUGCUCGAGGGAGACAGAGGUGAGCGGAACUUAGGGUGGAGCGGUGAAAUGCGUUGAUAUCCUAAGGAACACCGGUGGCGAAAGCGGCUCACUGGGUCUCUUCUGACGCUGAGGCACGAAAGCGUGGGGAGCAAACAGG